AGAGUAAUGUCUGGGAAACUGCCUGAUGGGGGGGGAUAACUACUGGAAACGGUAGCUAAUACCGCAUAACGUCGCAAGACCAAAGAGGGGGACCUUCGGGCCUCUUGCCAUCAGAUGUGCCCAGAUGGGAUUAGCUAGUAGGUGGGGUAAUGGCUCACCUAGGCGACGAUCCCUAGCUGGUCUGAGAGGAUGACCAGCCACACUGGAACUGAGACACGGUCCAGACUCCUACGGGAGGCAGCAGUGGGGAAUAUUGCACAAUGGGCGCAAGCCUGAUGCAGCCAUGCCGCGUGUGUGAAGAAGGCCUUCGGGUUGUAAAGCACUUUCAGCGAGGAGGAAGGUGGUGAACUUAAUACGUUCAUCAAUUGACGUUACUCGCAGAAGAAGCACCGGCUAACUCCGUGCCAGCAGCCGCGGUAAUACGGAGGGUGCAAGCGUUAAUCGGAAUUACUGGGCGUAAAGCGCACGCAGGCGGUUUGUUAAGUCAGAUGUGAAAUCCCCGGG
rnacentral:rRNA from 1 species